rnacentral:rRNA from 1 species
UACGGAGGGGGCUAGCGUUGUCCGAAGUUACUGGGCGUAAAGCGCGCGUAGGCGGGUUGGUAAGUCCGCUGUGAAAGCCCGGAGCUCAACUCCGGAGGGUCGGUGGAUACUGCCAGUCUUGAAGGUGCUAGGGGGAGAUGGAAUUACCGGUGUAGCGGUGAAAUGCGUAGAUAUCGGUAGGAACACCAGUGGCGAAGGCGGUCUCCUGGGGCAUUCUUGACGCUGAGGCGCGAAAGCGUGGGGAGCGAUCCGG